rnacentral:rRNA from 1 species
UGGGGAAUAUUGGACAAUGGGCGAAAGCCUGAUCCAGCAAUGCCGCGUGAGUGAUGAAGGCCUUCGGGUUGUAAAGCUCUGUCGGGAGGGAAGAACGAGUCGGUUAACACCCGACUGUGACGGUACCUCCAAAGGAAGCACCGGCUAACUCUGUGCCAGCAGCCGCGGUAAUACAGAGGGUGCAAGCGUUGUUCGGAAUUACUGGGCGUAAAGCGCGUGUAGGUGGCAUCAUAAGUCGGAUGUGAAAUCCCUCAGCUCAACUGAGGACGUGCAUUCGAUACUGUGACGCUUGAGUACCGGAGGGGAUGGCGGAAUUCCCGGUGUAGAGGUGAAAUUCGUAGAUAUCGGGAGGAACACCUGUGGCGAAGGCGGCCAUCUGGACGGUCACUGACACUGAGAC